rnacentral:miRNA from 1 species
GUAUAUAGAAAGUAUUUAAAUUGGUGCAAAAGUAAUUGUGGUUUUUGCCCAUGGACGUAAGGCCAAAAAUUGCAAUUACUUUUGCACCAACCUAGUACAUAUAA